rnacentral:rRNA from 1 species
UGGGGAAUAUUGCACAAUGGGCGCAAGCCUGAUGCAGCCAUGCCGCGUGUGUGAAGAAGGCCUUCGGGUUGUAAAGCACUUUCAGCGGGGAGGAAGGCGGUGAGGUUAAUAACCUCACCGAUUGACGUUACCCGCAGAAGAAGCACCGGCUAACUCCGUGCCAGCAGCCGCGGUAAUACGGAGGGUGCAAGCGUUAAUCGGAAUUACUGGGCGUAAAGCGCACGCAGGCGGUCUGUCAAGUCGGAUGUGAAAUCCCCGGGCUCAACCUGGGAACUGCAUUCGAAACUGGCAGGCUAGAGUCUUGUAGAGGGGGGUGGAAUUCCAGGUGUAGCGAUGAAAUGCGUAGAGAUCUGGAGGAAUACCGGUGGCGAAGGCGGCCCCCUGGACAAAGACUGACGCUCAGGUGCGAAAGCGUGGGGAGCAAACAGG